UUGUCACCGGCUCAGCAUUCAAAUAUCAUUUGAAUUAUCUCGAACAUUAAUCAGUAGUUCUAAAAGAUAGCAGAAACAUUAAGAUGUAUGGAUCACUUACAUUUUCCUAAUAUUUUGAAAAGAACAUUAAAGCCUGUCGUAGUAAGAGCAACGUUUAAAAUUAAGUAAAUUUCAAAAUAAAGGAAUAUUUUGUGCAGACAUUUUUUGCGUUAAUGUUGUUUAAGAUCAUAUAUAAUUUGAAAACUGCGUAUUGACAUUUUAAAAACAAAUUUUAAAUGGUUAAAUUUUAAAUAAGGGUAAAUGAGCAAAGGAUAUGAUUUUCUUCUCAUACUUAGCCAGGAGGAAGUAUUUGAGCGUUUGUGAAACAUACAUCAUGACUGUCAGCUUGAAAGAGGUCAUCGUAACAAAAGAGCUCUCGUCUGCUGCAAGUGUUGCUGGGGUUGCAGACGGCAGAUAAAAUUUGCGUGCAAAAUGGGUGAAACUAAUGAAUUACCGAACUUACUACUUACGCAAAUUUCAGGAACGAGAUUCGUACCGGGACAGAAAGUGACACCACGUGCGGAUCUGCCAGAAAGUUAAAGGGGUAGACAACAAAAUUGUGCUACUGCAAGAUACAUGUAGUGAAAUAAUAAUUACGCGCGGAGUGAUACAUAGACAUGGAGGAGGAUUUAACUUAAACAACAGUCUUAAUGUUCAGCUGGAACAAAUAUCGUAAUCAGGUUUUACACGCAAAAAAGUAAAGACUUGAAUCGUGGUGUUAUUUUAUAAUGACCCCAUAGCAGUUUUCUAUAUCUGAACGGAUACAAAUAAAACAUUAAACAUUUUAUGAAAAGAACGAUCAAAAAUUGAAAGCUAAAGAACCUAUGAUAUUUACUGUAUAUAAGUAUUUAAGAAAGUUUGGUACUUACAGAAUUCUGUCUUGAUGUAAAUUUUCUCUUGUUUACCGUGGUUAGUUUUGACUUACAUGUAGUAGUUAUUACCUUUCUUUUAGCACACUUCCUGGUGUCAGAUGGGUAUUAUGCAUUUUUUAAGGAUUACGUUGCAUCGUUUCAUUGGUUACAAUAGUUUGUGUGUAUUGUGUCCCCUAAAAAAAGAAGAUACUAUAUUUUAAA
rnacentral:lncRNA from 1 species